AUUGAACGCUGGCGGCAGGCUUAACACAUGCAAGUCGAGCGGAGAGAGGUAGCUUGCUACUGAUCUUAGCGGCGGACGGGUGAGUAAUGCUUAGGAAUCUGCCUAUUAGUGGGGGACAACAUUUCGAAAGGAAUGCUAAUACCGCAUACGUCCUACGGGAGAAAGCAGGGGAUCUUCGGACCUUGCGCUAAUAGAUGAGCCUAAGUCGGAUUAGCUAGUUGGUGGGGUAAAGGCCUACCAAGGCGACGAUCUGUAGCGGGUCUGAGAGGAUGAUCCGCCACACUGGGACGGAGACACGGCCCAGACUCCUACGGGAGGCAGCAGUGGGGAAUAUUGGACAAUGGGCGGAAGCCUGAUCCAGCCAGGCCGCGUGUGUGAAGAAGGCCUUAUGGUUGUAAAGCACUUUAAGCGAGGAGGAGGCUACUUUAGUUAAUACCUAGAGAUAGUGGACGUUACUCGCAGAAUAAGCACCGGCUAACUCUGUGCCAGCAGCCGCCGUAAUAC
rnacentral:rRNA from 1 species